CAAUAAUCAUUCCUUUUGAAAAUAUACAUCUAUAAUUGAUUGUUUUUUCUUCCCACCUAAAUCAAAAUGAACAUCAUCCUUAACUUUUUGUAGAGCAUACACAACAUCCGGAAUAUUUUGCUCGUGUUGUAGCAAGUAGUUGCUUAAGGUGACUAUUGCUUGAAAUGCAUCUUUUGACGACGCAUUUAGGACAACGCUAUUAUCAUCUGGUUCAAGAUCAUUCUCAUCAUCAUUACUGUUCAUUACCGAUUGAAUAAUUUCUUCGUCUGUAGAUGAUUCGAUAACUGCAUCAUUCUCGCUAUGAUAGUUCAAAAGAUGUUCAACAUCCAUCACAUUUCUAUAGUGUAAAUUAGAAUUGACAUUAUUUAAUCCUUGGAUACCUUCAUCUAAUUCACCAACUUCUGGUUCGAGAACAUUGUUUUCUUCUGAUCGAAUCUUGCAAUGCCGAAAACAAUUUGUAAUUGUUGUUGUCUUCACAUCAAAAUUCCAAACCAUGUUAGCAAAAUUAAUAGCAUUCAAAAUAUUAAUUUUUUCAGGAUUUGGUGCUUCAACCUCAAGGCCUUGUAAGAUGCUAGAAUAAAAACGACGACGAUAAUGAGUUUUGAAUGCUCGAAUAAUUCCAGCAUCACAUGGUUGAAUCUUAGACGUUGUGUUAGGAGAUAAGAAAAAUAACUCUACAUUUCUCAAGCCUUCAACUACCUUUGGAUGAGUUGGGCAAUUGUCUAAUAUUAAGAUAACCUUCCUGCCAUUCAUUCUCUUAUCAAACCAACCAACAAAAUCUUGAAAAAGUAAGACAGUCAUCCAAACUUUCUUAUUGGAUCGAUACUUGCAAUUAAGAUUGUUCAUGUUCACAUUUUUAAAGCAUCUAGGAUUUUCAUACUUACCAAUAACCCAAAGUGGUACUUUGUCAAAUCCAUCACCAUUGCAACAAACAACAACAGUAAUUCUCUCCUUAUCUUUUUUGCGUCCUUCGAGCUGCUUGGUAGCAAGUGAAUGACCAGCUUCCAAUCGAUAAAAUAAUCCAGUUUCAUCCAUAUUGUAAAUAUCUUUCAACUGAAACUGGUCUAAUUUUGAUCGUAUUCCAGGUAAAGCAUUUUCAAUGUUCUCCAUGAUAAUUGAACCACUUUCACCAAAACGUCAGUAAGAUUUGAUUCCAUAUCUUGCCUUGAAAUGUUCUAACCAUCCACUAGAAGAGCUGAAUUCUGGAUUAGUUUUACCAUAUAUUUUUUGCAAAAGCUCUUUUGCUUUUCCUUGGAUAAUUUCUCCAGACAUGUUCACUUUAUCUUGCCUUUGAAGAAACCACUCAUACAAAACUUCCUCUAAAUCAGGGUAUUUUGCUGAUUUGUGCCUUUUAACAUCGCUAUUUUUCAUCUCAUUUGACAAAUAUUCCGACACCCUUUUGAGAGUGUUCGAUAUUGUUGAUUGACUAAUAGUCAAAUCAAACUUUUGUUGCACCCAUGCUUGCAUAUCUUAUUGGCUAAUAGUUGGAUUCUCUUUCUUAUGCUCACAUAUUGCACUCCUCAUUUUAUCGGUUAAAGUUGAUUUUACUCCUUUCAAAUGAUGAGAAGACAUUGGAGGAGAAACAAAAUAUUGUAUGUGCUUGGAAUAUGUCUUCCAAACAUCUAGCUUUCAUAGGUAAAGACUAAACAUUUUCAUUUGCUAUGUACAUGAACUUAGUUUUUAGAGACAUUACGUUUCACUAAAACUUUUGAGCUUCCCUAGAUUCAAAUAAUACUUUGAUUAGUGUUUUUUGAUUUUUCUUACCACAUACAGUGUACAUAUUUUAUAUUGAAA
rnacentral:lncRNA from 1 species